rnacentral:rRNA from 1 species
UGUUUACCAAAAACAUCGCUUCUUGUUAANCCGAAAGUAUAAGAGGUCCCGCCUGCCCUGUGACUAUAUGUUUAACGGCCGCGGUAUUUUGACCGUGCGAAGGUAGCGCAAUCACUUGUCUUUUAAAUGGGGACCUGUAUGAAUGGCAUAACGAGGGCUUAACUGUCUCCUCUUUCAAGUCAAUGAAAUUGAUCUCCCCGUGCAGAAGCGGGGAUAAACACAUAAGACGAGAAGACCCUAUGGAGCUUUAGACACUAAAGCAGAUCAACAUUAAUACCCUUAACAAUAGGACCCGAAUCAACUGAACCCUGCCCUAAUGUCUUUGGUUGGGGCGACCGCGGAGAAAUAAAAAACCCCCGCAAGGACCGAAUGUACUACAUUCACAACCAAGAGCGACAGCUCUAAUUAACAGAAUUUCUGACCAGUAAGAUCCGGCAACGCCGAUCAAUGAACCGAGUUACCCUAGGGAUAACAGCGCAAUCUCCUCUUAGAGCCCAUAUCGACGAGGAGGUUUACGACCUCGAUGUUGGAUCAAGGACAUCCUAAUGGUGCAGCCGCUAUUAAGGGUUCGUUUGUUCAACGAUUAAAGUCCUACGUGAUCUGAGU